CCAAUGCUUAGUCCAAAGAGUUGAAAUUAGGUUUAUAUUAAUUCAUCCUAUAGUUCAUGAUGGAUUAGGCAAUUUGAGGGUUUAAUGGAGGUUUUAGUUUUAUGAAUUAGGGUUUAGAGAAAAGAGCAAUGAAAUGAGGAAGCCUGCUUUUGUUCUUCGUCGAAAUGGUAAGUUGCUUCCUGAUUACCUUUCUUUCCCAUUUCUCUUGUUUCAAUAUCAUACUAUUGUUGCUGCUUCUCUAAAUCCUCAAAUUCAUUUUCCCUCUCGAAAAUUAAUUCUUAACAACAGCUGUGUGAGAGAUUCGUUGCUUCCGUUUACUCGGAUGGUUGAGAGUACGUCUAUUGCCCCAAUUCAUCAAUCUAAUCGAAUUUAUGCUAAUGGUAACAUUUCUCAAGCAAUUUUAGGGUUUCAAGCUCAUGUAGUAACUCUCGGGAUGAUAAACAGGCUCUGCAAAUCCGGUGACACCCGAGCUGCUCUUCUUAUGCUCAGAGAGAUGGAAAAAAGUGAGAGCUGUAAGCCAGGCAUAAUCCAUUACAAUAUCAUCAUCAAUGGUCUUUGCAAGGAUCGACGUGUUAAUGAGGCUGUGGAUAUCUAUUGUGAGAUGAUCGUGAAAGGUAUUCUACCAGAUGUUGUAACAUUCACUUGUUUGAUUCAAGGUUUAUGCAGUUUAGGAUUGUGGGAAGAGGCACAGGGUUUGUUGAACGAAAUGCUAGCUCGAGGCAUCUCACCGAAUGUGGUCACAUUUAAUAUUUUAGUUCAUUCACUUUGUAAAGGUGGGAAGGUUGGGGAAGCACAUACUAUGCUUGAUGUUAUGAAUUCACAUCAGUGUGUGCCUGAUGUUAUCAGCUAUAACAUAUUAAUUAAUGGGUACUGCAAGAGCAAAAGAAUAGAUGAAGCCUUGAGUCUGUUUAUAGAGAUGUCUGGAAAGAGAAUAGCUCCUAAUAUAGUAACCUACACCACUCUUAUACACGGUUUGUGUCUAGUUGGUAGACUUGAGGAUGCACUUCUGCGUUUUGAUGAAAUUCAGGAUUGUGGUCUGGUUCCAGAUGUUGUUACUUACUCUACUUUGAUACAUUUUUUAUUUAAAAUUGGCAAAUUUGAUAAGGCAAUCACAUUGUUAAGGACUAUGGAAGAGGUUAGAGUGGCCCCUAAUAUUUAUCUGUACAAUAUCCUCAUUGAUGGUAUGUGCAAAGCUGGGAAAGUUGAUGUUGGCGAGGAACUUUUUCGGAAACUCCCUGCCUCGGGUUUGCAGCCUGGUUUUUAUACAUAUAAUAUCCUGAUUAAUGGGUAUUGCAAGAGCAUGAUGAUAGGUGAAGCCACGAGUCUUAUUAAGGAAAUGUCUGGAAACAGAGUUACACCAACUAUUGUGACCUACAACACUCUCAUCAGCGGGUUGUGUGAUGCUGGCAGACUCAAGGAUGCGCUUCUGCUCCUUGAUGACAUUCGAAAUCGUGAUCUUGUUCCUAACAUUGUUACCUACUCUACUUUGAUAGAUUCGUUAUUUAAAAAUGAAAAAUUUGAUGAUGCCCUUGCACUAUUAAGAACUAUGGAAGGUGUUGGAGUGGCCCCUAAUAUUGUUCUAUGGAACAUCCUCAUUGAUGGCAUGUGCAAAGUUGGGAAAAUUGAUGUUGGUCAAGAACUUUUCAGGGAUCUCCCUUCUAGAGGCUUGCGGCCUAAUAUUCUGACUUAUUUACUGAAAAAUUGGAGCAAUCUUCGGAGGAAUUUUCAGAAAUUUGGGAGAUACUGUUUCAGCAAUCGAGUCACAGCUGUUUUCAAGUCUGGAGACGCUGCUAAAGGAAACCAAGCAGAGCCGUAUUACUUGGUGUUUGACUCGGUUCUCUUACUGCAGUUGAUCAAGAAUAAUGCUUUCGGAGAUUGUCUAGACGGCCACUUUUCAUGAGAAUUCAUCCAAUCAUUGACCAGUCACAAGCUCAUUGUUGGAACUAUUGAGGAUCCUUCCUUUUCCAGGGAGCUUUGGUUUUUUGGUUGGGGUGAUUUCACAGAUUGCUACCAUUUGAACUGAUGCUUGUGAUUAAGAAGUUAAAAGAACAAUCUAUACCAUGGUGGAAAAUGCUCCGAGGAUCAAAAGAGGAUUGGGAGAAGAUAGCAAGUAUAUCAUCGUGGAGGCAACUGUAUUACGUCCUGAGAUCCCCUUUCUAGAGCUGAAAUCGGCUUAAGAAUGUACAAUUUUAACUACAUGUGGUGCAAGGUUAUUAAGAAGAUAUUGGUUGGAGCCUUGGAGGAGGAUCAUAUUUUGGCUAUAUCCAUUUUACAAGUUCAGAUCAAGUUGCAACUUUUAAAGCCACAAAGUAGAAAUUACUAAUAAUUGUGACCACUGAGUUUAUCAGAGUUAAUGUUGUAUAGUCGCAAUCUGCCGGGAAUAGUGUGACAUAGCCUGGAACAUCCUUCCUCAAAAAAAAAAAAAAAAGAGAAGUUAUUAUGGAUGUA